AGUAAUGCGUGACCAACCUGCCCCAUGCUCCAGAAUAGCUCUUGGAAACGGGUGGUAAUGCUGGAUGCUCCAACUUGACGCAUGUCUUGUUGGGAAAGUGUUUAGUGGCAUGGGAUGGGGUCGCGUCCUAUCAGCUUGUAGGCGGGGGUAAUGGCCCACCUAGGCUUCGACGGGUAGCCGGCCUGAGAGGGCGGACGGCCACAUUGGGACUGAGAUACGGCCCAGACUCCUACGGGAGGCAGCAGCC
rnacentral:rRNA from 1 species